GAUGAACGCUGGCGGCGUGCUUAACACAUGCAAGUCGAACGGUGAAAGCGGAGCUUGCUCUGCUGGAUCAGUGGCGAACGCGUGAGUAACACGUGAGCAAUCUGCCCCUGACUCUGGGAUAAGCGCUGGAAACGGCGUCUAAUACCGGAUACGAGCUGCGAAGGCAUCUUCAGCAGCUGGAAAGAACUUCGGUCAGGGAUGAGCUCGCGGCCUAUCAGCUAGUGGGUGAGGUAACGGCUCCCCAAGGAGUCGACGGGUAGCCGGCCUGAGAGGGUGACCGGCCACACUGGGACUGAGACACGGCCCAGAGUAGUACGGGAGGCAGCAGUAGGGAAUAGUGCACGAUGGGCGCAAGCCUGAUGCAGCAACGCCGCGUGAGGGAUUACGGCCUUCGGGUUGUAAACCUCUUUGAGUAGGGAAGGAGCGAAAGUGACGGUACCUGCAGAAAAAGCACCGGCUAACUACGUGCCAGCCGCCGCGGUAA
rnacentral:rRNA from 1 species